rnacentral:tRNA from 1 species
GCCUCCGUAGCUCAGCUGGACAGAGCAACGGCUUUCUAAUCCGUAGGUCGCAGGUUCGAAUCCUGCCGGGGGCG